UAUUAUAUUUGAUGAAAACUAUAUCUAUAUUUUCAAAUGUAAAAAAAAAAAAGGAAUUCUUAAAUAUUAAAGUUUAAAUAAUGAUUUGUCCUUAAAUUAAUUUCUCCUGCCACCAAGCGGCAAUACACGCACGCCGCCGUGAACUCCACACAUAUAAAACAAGAAUCUGCACAUCGCUGGUGGAAAUAGCCGAGCGCCCAUCUCAACUCAUCUAUCUAUCUGUUAACAAGCCUGCUCAAUUUGGUGCUCUUAUUCCCUCGAGGCAGAGUAGUUUCAGAAACAGAACUACCGACGAGUUCACUUCUACCUUUUGCUGUAUUUGAGUUGCAGAGAAAUGGUGUUAUGCUAUCCUUCAACGCCAAAGAAAUUGGCAAUGACAGUGGGAUGCUUCGUUGCUGGAACAGCCCUUUUUGCUAUUGGCUCACAUCUCUCCUACGUCUACAUUGCUCCUCAACAAGCCCGCAUCAAAGCUCGGAAUGAUUUUGUGAAAGAACGAUUGAGAAAGAAACGGAGCAAUGGAUAGAACCAUGGUUGAUGCUUGCUGCUCUAGUCUGUGCUAUUGGGACUCGUAUAAUGCCUAUUCUCUGCUGUUUACUUUUGUUAUAAAAGAGUUUUGCGUUUAAAUGCCUAUACGGUAAACGGGUAAUGUCGUUGGCUGUUUCUUGAUUCAGCGAUGUGAACAUGACUGGUUUUCGACUACAUUUUGUGUGUUGAUGACUCGGCUAGUUUUCUGAACUAGUCGGGUUCGUAUCCGAUCUUUACACCGUUUAGUAAACAGUUUGAGCAGGCUAUUCAUUAACACCUUCAAUUGGAAUAAAAAAUUUCACUGUUCAAUUCAA